GUGCCAGCAGCCGCGGUAAUACGUAGGGUGCGAGCGUUGUCCGGAUUUAUUGGGCGUAAAGGGCUCGUAGGCGGCGUGUCGCGUCGGGAGUGAAAGACCGGGGCUUAACCCCGGUUCUGCUUCCGGUACGGGCAUGCUGGAGUGUGGCAGGGGAGACUGGAAUUCCUGGUGUAGCGGUGGAAUGCGCAGAUAUCAGGAGGAACACCGGUGGCGAAGGCGGGUCUCUGGGCCAUUACUGACGCUGAGGAGCGAAAGCGUGGGGAGCGAACAGGAUUAGAUACCCUGGUAGUCC
rnacentral:rRNA from 1 species